GGUAUACAAGUAACGCUCCCAUUUCAUUUCUUAUGUUAUUAUUACUUGAUUAAUUAUGAACAGUGAAAACUAAUUAAUUACAUUACUUAGGAGAUUAACAAAUAGAUUAGAAGAAACGGUAACAGUUGUUGACAGAGGUCACCGUGCCGUCCGGCUCUUGUCCAAUCUUUGUUUGUACUAACAUGAGACACGUGUCCUCGUAUCACGCCCUCUUCUGCUCCUUUCCUCACCGCUUGCGUACGCUAAUGUACACUGUUUGUAUUUAAUACAUUCACUAGGCCUAAUAGUACAAGAGAAACAGAAGAAAAAAACUAUUCUUUUUGUCAUAUACGUACAUUUUAGGUGUAAUCACUA